UUCGUCCAGCAAUGGAUUGCGAUAGGCUGAAAUAAUGCAGACAAUGGAUUAUGGAAGAACACAAUGCGUAACAAUAGAGCAACAGGUUUCAACAACUUCGAGCGAUCUCAUCACUCAUUUUUAUCAAGUUUUAAAUCCUUUUAUUAUUAAUAAUGAACAGUAAGAUGAACAACAACUAUGAACUGAAAUAUCAGAAGAAGAUUAUAGGUACUUAGUGCAAUUUAAAUUUGUCGACACACGCCCGUACGCACGCGCGCCAUGCGUAUUCUGUAGGUAAGCGCAUUGUUUGUAAAGUAGAUAGCGUUACGCAAGACGAAGAUUAUGUAAUGACAGUGUAUACAUCAAAAUUGUGAAUUUGUGAAUAUUAAAUAGGUACUGAAGA